UUCAAUUAAGUUUUGCUUCCUUUAAAAAGUGACAGAACGCUGUUUAUCAUGAGCAAUAAUCUGUCUCAUGUGACGGGUCUUUAUUCCCACAUACUCUGAAGUAAGAGAAUAAUGAACAAAAUCAGCCAGUUUGAGCUGGCAAGGGGACGGACCUCACAUCUGCACGGCUGUUGGAAUGGUCUCUCAAGGAUGCACAAUGUCACAGGAGCUAGAGAAACCCCAGCUGGAGCGGAGAUGGUUUCUCGGGGGGGUUACAGGGUGCUACUGGCUUUACCUGGAGGACUCUGCAUACCAUAUGGCCCCAUGUUUGGAUUCUUGAUCUGAAUCCCAGCCUCCACCAUUGUUUUCGAGGCCCCUCUCAGGACCCUGGGCUGAAGAACAGAUGGCACUUUGUUGCUGGAGCUGUCAGUCCGAAGGGCACCUUGAAAAGGCCUCACGCAAGCAAUGAGGGAUUCCAGUGGUCAUCGGAAAGGACGGUGCGAUCGGCAGAAGGUAGACGAUAAAUAUCCGAGUCAACAUGGAGACAUCCCUGCCAACGUCAGCCAGAAGUCAUCGGAUGACAACGAGAACCUAGUCAGAGCAAGAACGGGCCGAGUCUGCAGCUGUCACUGUAGUCUCGCUCGUGAGUUUUACCCUGGUAAGCUGCGGGGGAAAAUAACAUGCCACAGUGAUCGCUGACAGAAAGGGGGAGGCCUUGAUGUCCAGUUCUGUGUGGACGCCUACAACGCUGCUGCUGACAGAUAAUAUUACAAGGCUUAAGUCUUCUUGAGACUGCAGUCCAGAGGUCAGCCAAGUCGGCGAGCCGAUUUUGACACCAUGCCACAAACUUAACGGGAGUCAUCGUGCCAUUUCAGCGAAAUCAGCAGCUGGCGACAUCCUGACCCUGCCACGGGACGCGACGUCAUCGCGCUCUCGUAGGUGCCAGAGAAGGUCAGGUCCCUUUUAUGGAGACCACUCCGCCCCAAUACCUUGACGACGAGUUGUCUUGACGGCAGGCUUACAUGAUUUUUGCGACGUAUGACUUUCUUGAAUUGCUAUUUUGAGAAAUGAAAACUAAAUGAAACAAAAUGGUAACACUUUACUCGACAGGGCACAAAUAGCACAGUACAGGAACUCCUCUACUUACUAACUUUCAACUUACGAACUUUCCGACAUACGAACGAAAUUGUGUUCAUUGGGCUCCUGUUUCCUGUCCGCAACAUCAAAUUUUGUUCUGCGCGCCAAUUCCGCCUAGUACGAAUUCUGGCCGCUGCUCCCGCCGCGCAGCAUCUUAGCGUGCGUACUCCCAGCAGCCCAGUUCUUUAUACUUGCAUAUCGGUAAGACGUGCUCUCUUAAGAUCAAAGGUUACUUCGUUUUUAUUGCGAAAUAUUCUAUGCAUCCAUUAUCCAUCAUGUCCAUUUUCUAGGACUAAGGCUGGACAAAGUGCUGCAGAUGAAACGUUUACUGCACACCCUCCUCCUCCUCCUGUCAUCCAUCACCUCAAGCCUAUUUCACCAGUUCCAAGUGCUCCGAUUUGAAGUCUGCCCAUACAUCUUGCUUGACUAGCUGUCAAAAGGUUCAUUAAGGCUAUAUUUGGAGCAGCACAUGAGGGAGAGAGUCCACUUCAGACAGAACAAGGAUAAGCCCAUCAAUCUACUGACCUGCAGCAGCAGUUUGUCUUUGGGCUAUCUGUUAGCAGUGUUGAGGACACCCUGGUAUCGGAUACUGCCACAUACUUACGUAGCUGCAAAUGUAUAAUUUAUUUGUUCAGAAAUGAGAACACAGAAAGUCUUGAAAUGUUUGUGUUGAGGAGUACAUCAGCGUAAAUCAUAGGCCGGCAUGAUUGAAUUAUUGCUGCUCUAAGGCCUUUUAAAUCAUACUGCUGGACAAAUUUACCCAGAGCUUCAGUCCAUUUCAAGCCACUAUGGGUCAUGUGACAAUGUCUUGGCAAUUCUGGUUGAUUUUGAUUACUCUAAGGUACAUGUUUUCUUCAUUAGAGUCCAUCAGCCGCUGAUGACAUAUUAUUACAUUCUGAGAACAAGGCCUGGACUCUAUAAAGCUCUCAUAAGAGCACAGAUAAACCCAAUUAGAUAAAUCUCUCUCUCUCUCUCUCUCUAUACCUUCUUUAUCCCCAGCACCUGUGGAAGGAACAAAAAUUUCACCGUUUUCCUUAACAUAUGACAA